rnacentral:lncRNA from 13 species
UGAAAACCAAGCUGGUGUAAAUUACCACGGCUCAAUGCAGCUGAGCAGAUUUACAUCAUUUGAAGACGCAGUCCUUGGCAUGUUGGAGCAGCCUGCUUUUCGAGAACCUGGCAGUUAGUGUGCCAUGGAUAGCAUUUACAGCACCUCUCACCCUGCAAAUCCAGUGCUGGCCUGCUGUGAUCAGGUCAACAAUUUUGAUCUGUGCUGGAUGGGAACAAGACCAGGAAAAGGAGCUUACCAUCCCUAUUUAAAGGAUGUUUAACAGGCUAUUGACAAGCCACCUUUCAUCAGGGAUCACCAGGGGUCUUCGUGCUGUUAGAACACAAAUCCUAUUCCUCUUGCCAUACAACACCGAUCCAUUUUAGAGGUGUUUUGUGAUCCUUAAGUUGAACUGCCUUUCCCCAGUGUCUCAGGGUGGAUAACAGCAGGUAACCCGCAGCCCUGUGCUCAGCGAGGCCCUGCUGUCCUUUGUGGACAUGAAGGUGAACUUCUGACGGAUCCAGCCUUAUUUGAGUAAAGCACUGUACCAUAUCCUAUUAAAUUGGCACCCCUGACUGCUUCUGUGAGCUUGGCCCUGUGGAAUUUUCAAUAAAAAGUAAUUAUUUUAUAAGGUGUAUAAAGAGCUUAUUCAAGGCACAUGCUCAUUAAGCUCUUUCAGUCGUCAUUAACAUCAACCCCUAAAGGAACAAUGGCAAUAAUGCAAGAUGGGGCUGAAAACUGUGGCUUUUCUUAGGAGAGAACAGCAGAGGGGUUUAGCAGCACUGAUCCUCUCUCCAGCCUUCUGCUAGGGCCAGGAGAAUGCGGAUGCUCAGAAUUAGUUAACGAUGCUUAUAUUACGCUUGGACUAAUCUGGAAGCUUGGCAUUUAAUUGGGAAGAAUCUAGCAUUCCAGAUGGAUUUUAUGGUCAUACAUGAGAAUGAGUGGUCAUUUCAGAUCAAU